ACGCUCGACACCUACGGGAGGCAGCAGUGGGGAAUAUUGCAACAAUGGGGGAAACCCUGAUGCAGCGAUGCCGCGUGAAGGAAGAAGUAUCUCGGUAUGUAAACUUCUAUCAGCAGGGAAGAAAAUGGACGGUACCUGACUAAGAAGCCCCGGCUAACUACGUGCCAGUAGCCGCGUAAUCUGAGCGGGCUGGCAAGGC
rnacentral:rRNA from 1 species